GACAGAGGGUGCAAACGUUGUUCGGAAUUACUGGGCGUAAAGCGCGUGUAGGCGGCCCUGCAAGUCGGGUGUGAAAUCCCAUGGCUCAACCAUGGAAGUGCACUCGAAACUGCAGGGCUAGAGUCCUGGAGAGGAAGGUGGAAUGCUUGGUGUAGAGGUGAAAUUCGUAGAUAUCAAGCGGAACACCGGUGGCGAAGGCGGCCUUCUGGACAGUGACUGACGCUGAGACGCGAAAGCGUGGGGAGCAAACAGGAUUAGAAACCCCAGUAGUCC
rnacentral:rRNA from 1 species